GCCUCAGUAGCUCAGCUGGUUAGAGCGGUCCCGGUGUUACCGGGAUUAAUCCGUAGGUCAUAGGUUCAA
rnacentral:tRNA from 19 species